AGUAGCCGCGGUAAUACGGAGGGUGCAAGCGUUAUCCGGAUUCACUGGGUUUAAAGGGUGCGUAGGCGGAUCUGUAAGUCAGUGGUGAAAUCUCCAGGCUUAACCUGGAAACUGCCGUUGAUACUAUAGGUCUUGAAUUUUGUGGAGGUUAGCGGAAUAUGUCAUGUAGCGGUGAAAUGCAUAGAUAUGACAUAGAACACCAAUUGCGAAGGCAUCUGGCUACACAACUAUUGACGCUGAGGCACGAAAGCGUGGGGAUCAAACAGGAUUAGAUACCCCCGUAGUCCCUGUCUCUUAUACA
rnacentral:rRNA from 1 species